GACGAACGCUGGCGGCGUGCCUAAUACAUGCAAGUUGAGCGAUGAAGAUUGGUACUUGUACCAAUUUGAAGAGCAGCGAACGGGUGGGUAACGCGUGGGGAAUCUGCCUUUGAGCGGGGGACAACAUUUGGAAACGAAUGCUAAUACCGCAUAAUAACUUUAAACAUAAGUUUUAAGUUUGAAAGAUGCAAUUGCAUCACUCAAAGAUGAUCCCGCGUUGUAUUAGCUAGUUGGUGAGGUAAAGGCUCACCAAGGCGAUGAUACAUAGCCGACCUGAGAGGGUGAUCGGCCACAUUGGGACUGAGACACGGCCCAAACUCCUACGGGAGGCAGCAGUAGGGAAUCUUCGGCAAUGGACGAAAGUCUGACCGAGCAACGCCGCGUGAGUGAAGAAGGGUUUCGGAUCGUAAAACUCUGUUGGUAGAGAAGAACGUUGGUGAGAGUGGAAAGCUCAUCAAGUGACGGUAACUACCCAGAAAGGGACGGCUAACUACGUG
rnacentral:rRNA from 1 species